CAGCAGCCGCGGGAAUGCGUAGGUGGCAAGCGUUGUCCGGAAUUAUUGGGCGUAAAGCGCGCGCAGGUGGUUUAAUAAGUCUGAUGUGAAAGCCCACGGCUCAACCGUGGAGGGUCAUUGGAAACUGUUAAACUUGAGUGCAGGAGAGAAAAGUGGAAUUCCUAGUGUAGCGGUGAAAUGCGUAGAGAUUAGGAGGAACACCGGUGGCGAAAGCGGCUCUCUGGCUUGUAACUGACGCUGAGGCUCGAAAGCGUGGGGAGCAAACAGGAUUAGAUACCCCUGUAGUCCCUGUCUCUUAUAC
rnacentral:rRNA from 1 species